GUAACAAGGUUCCGUUGGUGAACCAGCGGAGGGAUCAUUACCGAGUUUACAACUCCCAAACCCCUGUGAACAUACCUUAAUGUUGCCUCGGCGGAUCAGCCCGCGCCCCGUAAAACGGGACGGCCCGCCAGAGGACCCAAACUCUAAUGUUUCUUAUUGUAACUUCUGAGUAAAACAAACAAAUAAAUCAAAACUUUCAACAACGGAUCUCUUGGUUCUGGCAUCGAUGAAGAACGCAGCAAAAUGCGAUAAGUAAUGUGAAUUGCAGAAUUCAGUGAAUCAUCGAAUCUUUGAACGCACAUUGCGCCCGCUGGUAUUCCGGCGGGCAUGCCUGUUCGAGCGUCAUUUCAACCCUCAAGCCCCCGGGUUUGGUGUUGGGGAUCGGCUCUGCCUUCUGGCGGUGCCGCCCCCGAAAUACAUUGGCGGUCUCGCUGCAGCCUCCAUUGCGUAGUAGCUAACACCUCGCAACUGGAACGCGGCGCGGCCAUGCCGUAAAACCCCAACUUCUGAAUGUUGACCUCGGAUCAGGUAGGAAUACCCGCUGAACUUAGCAUAUCAAUAAGCGGA
rnacentral:rRNA from 1 species